CUUCAACGAGCCCAGCCACAGCGGCCGUUGGGCUGCCCGGUCCUGCCCGUACGUGGCCAGCAGAGCCUGCGCCUC
rnacentral:antisense_RNA from 1 species